GAGGGUAUAACUCAGUGGUAGAGCACAUGCUUAGCAUGCACGAGGUCCUGGGUUCAAUCCCCAGUGCCUCCG
rnacentral:tRNA from 1 species